AGUGAACGCUGGCGGUAGGCCUAACACAUGCAAGUCGAACGGCAGCACAGUAAGAGCUUGCUCUUACGGGUGGCGAGUGGCGGACGGGUGAGGAAUACAUCGGAAUCUACUUUUUCGUGGGGGAUAACGUAGGGAAACUUACGCUAAUACCGCAUACGACCUACGGGUGAAAGCAGGGGAUCUUCGGACCUUGCGCGAUUGAAUGAGCCGAUGUCGGAUUAGCUAGUUGGCGGGGUAAAGGCCCACCAAGGCGACGAUCCGUAGCUGGUCUGAGAGGAUGAUCAGCCACACUGGAACUGAGACACGGUCCAGACUCCUACGGGAGGCAGCAGUGGGGAAUAUUGGACAAUGUGCGCAAGCCUGAUCCAGCCAUACCGCGUUGGUGAAGAAGGCCUUCGGGUUGUAAAGCCCUUUUGUUGGGAAAGAAAAGCAGCAGGUUAAUACCCCGCUGUUCUGACGGUACCCAAAGAAUAAGCACCGGCUAACUUCGUG
rnacentral:rRNA from 1 species